CACCGCCUUUCCUGACCGACUCCCCCCAUUGCCUAUAAAAGAUACCCACAUCUUAAUUCAGAUCCUCGUAUUUCUAACUUUAGUUUCCUUCGUUUUUGGUUUUGAGGUGUAAGAUUGCUCUUGGGGAAGAUAUUCGUUUGGGCUUUUUGGUGCGAGUCCGAUCAUCUUCCUUGUGAAAUCCUGGUUCUUUUCUCCCAAUUAUUUUGUACGUUAGCUGAAAGGGAAGGUUUUUUGUUUUUUUUUUUAUUGUUUUCGUUAUAGAUUUGUUUCUUGCGCACCCGUUCCAAAUCUAUGGAGAAGAGCGACGGUUUCAUAGCCGUUCGGAUUUAUAUUAUGCUUUUGGAUUGUCCUUUUAUUGAGGAUUGGUUUCGAGAUUCUUGAAUUUUUGAAAGGAUGUGGUCUUCUUUGCGUUAGGUUUUUUGUUGCAUCGCCGAUCAUCUUUGCUGCGAAAUCCUGGCUUUUUGUUCUGAUUGCGUUGUCCUUUGGCUGGAAGGGAAGAAUUUUCUUUCCCGUUAAAGUUCGGAUUUUCCUUCAAUGGUUAUCGUUUGUCGAUGGUAUCGGUAAUGUUUUUUGCUUCUUGCUUAUCCGUCCUAAUGCUAUGGAGAAGAGCGACGGUUUCAUAGUCGUUCGGAUUUAUAUUAUGCUGUUGGGUUGUGUUUUUAUUGACGAUUGGUUUCGAAAUUCUUGAAUUCUUGAAAGUUUGUGAACUUCUUCGUCUUAUGUUUUUUGAUGCAUCGCCGAUCAUCUCCGCUGCGAAAUCUGGAUUUUCUCUUCUAAUUUCGUUGGCCGUUGGGGGAAAGGGAAGAAUUUUCUUUACCGUUAAAGAUUCGGAUUUUCCUUCAACACUUACCAUCGUUACUGGUUUUGUUAUGAUAUCGUUUAUCGAUGGAGAAAAUUGAUUUCAGAUGGUAACGAUGAAGGUUUCUGCGUUUCUUGUUUUCCUUCAAUAGUUACCGUGGGUGAUGGUUUUCUUAUGAUAUCGUUUGUCGAUGAAGAAAAGUGAUUUCAGAAGGAAUCGGUAAUUCUUUUUUGCUUCUUGCUUAUCCAUACUAAUGCUAUGGAGAAAGAGACGGUUUCAUAGUUGUUGGGAUUUAUAUUAUGCUGCUGGGUUGCGUCUUUUGAUGGUUCGUUUCAGAAUCUUGCAUUUUUGAAAGGAUGUGAUCUUCGUCGUGUUGGUUUUUUCUUGAUGCAGCGUCCAUCAUCUUCAUUGCCAAAUCUGGAUUUGUCUCCAAAUUAUGUUGUCCGUUGGCUGAAAUGGAAUUUUCUUUUUCAUUAAAGAUUGGGAGUUUCUUUCAAUACUUGUCGUCGUUGGUGAUGGAUUUCUUAUCAUGUUGUUGUCGAUGAAGAAAAAUUGAUUUCUGAUGGUAAAGGUUGAGUUUUUCUCGGAGAAAUUCGGAAUAUUUUCUUUUCUAAGUUGUGUUUGUCGCUAGGAUUUUUGUAAGGAGGGACGAUAAUGUACUGAAUCUGUUUUUGUCUCUAGAGUGUAGUAGGUAUUUCCUUCGUAUACUUUUUGUGAAUUUGGACUGUGCCUAUUCUUAGUAAUUAAAUCUCUUAUUAUAAAAGAAAAAUGGCUAUCCUUUUUGUUUUUAUAUUGUUUUUCAGUUCUGCUACUUACGAAUCCGACUUGAUGCUAUGGAGAAGGAGUGACGGUUUCAUAUGAUACUUUUGGAUUACGUUUGUUGAUGAUUGGUCUGAAAUUCUUGCAUUUCUUAUUGGAUAUGAUCUCUUCUUCUUAUACAAGUGUGUUAAUUUCAGCAAAUACGAAUACAAGUGUAGGUUUGGAUUUCCUUUCGAAGUUAACAUCUUUCAUGGACCAUUCUUGAUCUUGGGUAAUAAUGUUUAAUUGGUGCGUGUGAUGGUAAGCUGUUCAUAUCUCCUGAUUUGAGCUCUUAAAAGAAAGCUAUAUAAUUCUUAUAAUUUUUUUAAAUUUUUACAUAAAAUAUAAUAAAUAAUUUUUUUUUUUAAAAUUUUAAAAUAAAAAUAAUGUUAAAAAAUUAUAUUUUAACAAUAUUUUAUUCAAUUUUGAUCUCAUCUUAUUUAAUUUUGAUCUCAUCUUAUUGGUAACUAAAUGAGGCCUAAAACUUUAAAGAGAAUUGAGUUAAAAGAAGGAGAAAUUUUCUGCCUGUGCACUUGCAUUUCUUGUUGGUUUGCCUCGAAAUUUGAGGCCGGUUUUAAAAGGCUCUUUUGUUGAGGGCUUAACAAGGGGUCAUGCAAUGGGUUUGAACCAAGGCUACAUGAUUUUAUCUUUUAUGUUCUCUUCUGCUUCUCAAUUUCCUGCGUGCUUUUUAUUUAUUCAUCAAAAAAAAUUUCCUGCGUGCUUUUGAGUAGUCUUUCUUUUCAUUUCUUUAUCUACACUGUUGUCACGUGGAUUGAAUGAAUAAUUCCAAGGGGUCAUGCAAUGCCACGAAAUGGGUUUGAGCUAUGCCUACGUGAUUUUGUUCAUUAUGUUCUCUUCUGCUUUGCAAUUUCCCACAUGCUUUUCAUUUGCUUAUAUACGUUGUCUCUCUUGUUAGGCUGCAUUUUUGUGAUUUAAAUAAAUAAUUCCGAGGGAUCAAGCAAUGCCAUGAAAUGGGUUUGAGCUAAGCCUACGUGAUCUUGUUCUUUAUGUUUUCUUAUGCUUCUCAAAUUCCCACAUGCUUUUCGUUUGCUUAUAUACUUUUUUUGUAUUGACAGGCUGCAUCUUCGUGGCUAAAUAAAUAAUUCAAGGGCUGCACUUCUAAGAACACCAACACAUUUUUUACUCUGAAAAUAAAUAAUUCAAGGGCUGCACUUCUAAGAACACCAACACAUUUUUUACUCUGAAAAAAAUUUUCUCUUCUGCUUCUCAGUUUCCUUCAUGCUCAUCAUUUGUUUAUCUACAUUGUGUGUAUUGUCAGGCUGCAUCUGCGCGGCCUAAAUAAGUAAUCCCAAGGGGUCAGGCAAUGCCAUGAAAAGGGUUUGAGAUAAGCCUACGUGAUUUUGUUCUUUUUUGUUCUCUUCUGCUUCUCAACUUCCCACACGCUUUUCAUGUGUUUAUUUACAUUGUGUAUUGUCAGGCUGCAUCUGGGUGGCCUAAAUGAAUAAUUUCAAGGGGUCAUGCAGUGCUAUGAAAUGGGUUUUGAGCUAAGGCAUUCUUUAUGUUCUCUUCUGGUUAUCAAUUUCCCACAUGGUUUUCAUUUGCCUAUCUACUUUGUGUGUAUUUUCAAGCUGCAUUUGUGUUGUUUGAAUAAAUAAUUCCAAAGUGUCAGGCAAUGCCAUGAAAUGGGUUUGAGCUAAGGCUUUGUGAUUUUGUUUAUGUUCUCUUCUGCUACUCGAUAUCCCACUUUCUUUUCAUUUGUUUAUCUACAUUGUGUGUAUUGUCAGGCUGCAUCUGGGUGGUCUAAAUGAAUAAUUUCAAGUGGUCAUGCAAUGCCAUGAAAAGGGUUUGAGCUAAAGCUACGCGAUCUUGUUCUUUGUGUUCUCUUCUGCUUCUCAAUUUCCCACCUGCUUUUCGUUUGCUUAUAUAUUUUUUGUGUUCAUGCUCUCUUAUGAUUCUCAAUUUCCCACAUGCUUUUCAUAUGCAUAUAUACUAUGUGUGUUUUGUCAGGCUGCAUCUGCAUGGCCUAGAUAAAUAAUUUCAAGGGAGCAAAGCCAUGAAAUUGGUUUGAGCUAAGACUACGUGAUUUUGUUCUUUGUUUUCUCUUCUGCUUCUCGCCCAACUAAAGUGAGGGCGGGCACAGAAUGUUGGGACAACGUGGCAUUUAAAUAUUUCAAUCUUCCCGGCCAAUAUUCCAAGCCGAGACUGGGUCAGAUCUGGCUCUUAAGUCAGGUCUCGCUUCAGAGAGAACGCCAACGUGCGUCUCACGGUGCAAAGAAAUCUUUCCGUUCUCGACGGUGGAAGAAGGUCAAGGGGCAGGAUUGCACUUAUAAGAACCCCAACACAUUUUUUACCGAUCAAAAAAAAUUUCUCUCUUCUUCUCAAUUUCCCACAUGCUCUUCAUUUGUUCAUUUACAUUGUGUGUAUUGUUGUCAGGCUGCAUCUGCAUGGCCUACAUAAAUAAUCCCAGGGGGUCAGGCAAUGCCAAGAAAAAAGGGUUUGAGCUAAGCCUACGUGAUUUUGUUCGUUUUUUUUCUUUUCCACUUCUCAAUUUCCCACAAGCUUUUCAUGUGUUUAUCUACAUUGUGUGUAUUGUCAGGCUGCAUCUGGGUGGCCUAAAUUAAAUAAUUUCAAGGGGUCAUGCAAUGCCAUGAAAUGGGUUUGGGCUUUAAGGUGUUCUUUAUGUUCUCUUCUGCUUCUCAAUUUCCCACAUGGUUUUCAUUUGCCUUUGUACUUUGUGUAUUGUCAGGCUGCAUUUGCUUGGUUUGAAUAAAUAAUUCUAAGGGGUCAGGCAAUGCCAUGAAAUGGGUUUGAGCUAAGGCUUUGAGAUUUUGUUUAUCUUCUCUUCUGCUUCUCAAUAUCCCCCUUGCUUUUCUUUUGUUUAUCUACAUUGUGUGUAUUGUCAGGCUGCAUCUGGGUGGCAUGAAUGAAUAAUUUGAAGGGGUCAUGCGAUGCCAUGAAAUGGGUUUGACCUAAGGCUACGCGAUCUUGUUCUUUAUGUUCUCUUCUGCUUCUCGAUUUCCCAGAUGGUUUUCAAUUCCAAAGGGUCAGGCAAUGCCAUGAAAUGGGUUUGAGCUUAGGCUUUGUGAUUUUGUUUAUGAUGUUCUCUUCUGCUUCUCAAUAUGCCCCUUGCUUUUGAUUUGUUUAUCUACAUUGUGUGUAUAGUCAGGCUGCAUCUGGGUGGCAUGAAAUGGGUUUGAGCUAAGGCUAUGCGAUCUUGUUCUUUAUGUUCUCUUCUGCUUCUCAAUUUCUCACAUGCUUUUCGUUUGGUUAUAUACAUUUUGUGUAUUGACAGGCUUUAUCUGCGUGGCUAUGUGAUUUUGUUUCUUGUCUUCUCUGCUGCUUCCCAAUUUCCCACAUGUUUUCAUUUGUUUAUCUACCUUGUGUGUUUUGUCAGGUUGCAUCUGUGUGGCCUAAAUAAAUAAUUUCAAUGGGUCAUGAAUGCUAUGAAAUUGGUUUGAGCUAAGGCUUUGUGAUUUUGUCUAUGUUUCUUCUGCUUCUCAAUAUCCCCAUUGCUUUUCAUUUAUCUAUCUACAUUGUGUGUGUUGUCAGGCUGCAUCUGGGUGGCCUGAAUGAAUGAUUUCAAGGGGUCAUGCAGUGCCAUGAAGAGGGUUUGAGCUAAGGCUAAGCGAUCUUGUUCUUUAUGUUCUUUUCUGCUUCUCAAUUUCCCAAAUGCUUUUCGUUUGCUUAUAUAUUUUUUGUAUUGAUAGGCUGCAUCUGCGUGGCUAUGUGAUUUUGUUCCUUGUGUUCUCUGCUGCUCCCAAUUUCCCUCAUGCCUUUCAUUCGUUUAUCUACACUGUAUAUUGACAGGCUGCAUCUGCGUGGCCUAAAUAAAUAAUUUCGAGGGAUCAAGAAAUGCCAGGAAAUGGGUUUUAAAUAAGCCAUUCUUUAUGUUCCGAUCUGCUUCUCAAUUUCCCACAUACUUUUCAUUUGUUUAUCUACAUUGUGUGUAAGGUUGCAUCUGUGUGGCCUAGAUAAAUAAUUUCAUGGGGUCAUGAAUGCCAUGAAAUUGGUUUGAGCUAAGGCGUUCUUUAUUUAUGUUCUCCUCUGCCUCUCAAUUUCCCACAAUUAGCUUAUCAUGUAUUGUCAGGCUGCAAUUUCGUGGUUUAAAUUAAUAAUUCCAAGGGGUCAGGUGAUGAAAUGAAAUGGGUUUGAGCUAAGGCUACAUGUUUUGUUUUUUUAUGUUCUCUUAAGAUUCUCAAUUUCCCACAUGCUUUUCAUAUGCAUAUUUACAUUGUGUGUAUUGUCAGGCUGCAUCUGCAUGGCCUAGAUAAAUAAUUCCAAGGGGUCAGGCAAUGUCGUGAAAUUGGUUUGAGCUAAGGCUAUGUGAUUUUGUUCUUCAUUUUCUCCUCUACUUCUCGCCCAACUAAAGCGAGGGUGAGCACAGAAUGUUGGGGUAACGCAGCACUUAAAUAUUUCAAUCUUUCUGGCCAAUAUUCCAAGCCGAGACUGAGUCAGGUCUCGCUUCAGAGAGAACGUCAGUGUGCGUCUCACGGUGCAAAGCAAUCUUUCCGUUCUCGACGGUGGAAGUAGGUCAAUGGGCAGGGUUGCACUUCUAAGAACCCCAACACUUUUUAUUUUACCGAUUAAAAAAAAAAAAAAAUUUCUUCUGCUUCCCAAUUUCCCACAUGCUCUUCAUUUGUUUAUCUACAGGCUGCAUCUGCAUGGCCUAAAUAAAUAAUCCCAGGGGGGUUCAGGCAAUGCCAUGAAAAAAGGGUUUGAGCUAAGCCUACGUGAUUUUUUUUUUUUUUUCCUUUUCCACUUCUCAAUUUCCCACACGCUUUUCAUGUGUUUAUAUCUACUUUGUGUGUAUUGUCAGGUGACAUUAGGGUGGCCUAAAUGAAUAAUUUCAAGGGAUCAUGCAGUGCCAUGAAAUGGGUUUGAGCUAAGGCGUUCUUUAUGUUCUCUUUUGCUUCUCAAUUUCCCACAUGGUUUUCAUUUGCCAAUCUACUUUGUGUGUAUUGUCAGGCUGCAUUUGCGUGGUUUGAAUAAAUAAUUCCAAAGGGUCCGGCAAUGCCAUGAAAUGGGUUUGAGCUAAGGCUUUGUGAUUUUGUCCAUGUUCUCUUCUGCUUCUCAAUAUCCCCAUUGCUUUUCAUUUAUCUAUCUACAUUGUGUGCGUUGUUAGGAUGCAUCUGGGUGGCCUGAAUGAAUAAUUUUAAGGGGUCAUGCAGUGCCAUGAAAUGGGUUUGAGCUAAGCCUACGUGAUCUUAUUCUUUAUGUUCUCUUCUGCUUCUCAAUUUCCCACAUGCGUUUUGUUUGCUUAUAUACUUUUUGUGUAUUGACAGGCUUUAUCGGCGUGGCUAUGUGAUUUUGUUCCUUGUGUUCUCUGCUCUGCUUCCCAAUUUCCUUCAUGCUUUUCAUUUGUUUAUCUACACUAUAUUAUCAGGCUUCAUUUGCCUAAAUAAAUAAUUCCAAGGGAAAAAGAAAUGCCUGGAAAUGUUAAGCCAUUCUUUAUGUUCUCAUCUGCUCAAUUUCCGAUAAAAAAAAAAAAAAAAAAAUUCUAUUCUGCUUUCUCGAUUUUUAUGCUCUUCAUUUGUUUAUCUACAUUGUGUAUUGUCGGGAUGUGUCAGCAUGGCCUAAAUAAAUAAUCCCAAGGGGACAGGCAAUUCCAUGAAAAGGGUUUAGCUAGGUCUUAUUUUGUUCUUUUUUUGUUCUCUUCCGCAUCUCAAUUUCGCACACUUUUCGUGUGUUUAUCUACAUUGUGUGUAUUGUCAGGCUGCAACUGGGUGUCCUAAUGAAUAAUUUCAAGGGAUCAUGCAGUGCCAUGAAAUGGGUUUGAGCUAAGGCGUUCUAUAUGUUCUCUUCUGCUUCUCAAUUUCCCGCAUGGUUUUUAUUUGCCUACCUACUUUGUGUGGCCUGAAUGCUUAUAUACUUAUUGUGAAUUGACAGGGUGCAUCUGCAUGGCUACGUCAUUUUGUUUCUUGUGUUCUCUGCUGCUUCCCAAUUUCCCACAUGCUUCAUACUUGUUUAUUUACACUGUAUAUUGUCAAGAUGCAUCUGCAUGGCCUAAAUUAAUGAUUCCAAGGGAUCGGGAAAUGCCAGGAAAUGGGUUUUUGCUUAGGCUAUCUUUAUGUUCUGAUCUGCUUCGCAAUUUCCCACAUGAUUUUCAUUUGCUUAUCUACUUUGUGUGUAUUGUCAGGCUGCAUUUGCGUUGUUUGAAUAAAUCAUUCCAAAGGGUCAGGGAAUGCCAUGAAAUGGGUAUCAGCUAAGGCUUUGUGAUUUUGUUUGUGUUCUUUUCUGCUUCUCAAUAUCCCCCUUGCUUUUCAUUGGUUUAUCUACAUUGUGUGUAUUGUCAGGCUGCAUCUGGGUGGCCUGAAUGAAUACUUUUAGGGGUCAUGCAAUGCCAUGAAAUGGGUUUGACCUAAGGCUACGCUAUCUUCUUCUUUAUGUUCUCUUCUGCUUCUCAAUAUCCCCCUUGCUUUUCAUUUGUUUAUCUACACUGCGUAUAUUGUCAGGCUGCAUCUGGGUGGCCUGAAUGAAUAAUUUCAGGGGGUCAUGCAUUGUCAUGAAUUGGGUUUGAGCUAAGACGUUAAUUAUGUUCUCUUCUGCUUCUCAAUUUCCCACAUGGUUUUCAUUUGCCCAUCUACUUUGUGCGUAUUGUCAGGCCGCAUUUGCGUGGUUUGAAUAAAAAAUUCCAGAGGGUCAGGCGAUGCCACGAAAUGGGUUUGAGCUAAGGCUUUGUGAUUUUGUUUAUGUUUUCUUCUGCUUCUCAAUAUCCCCCUUGCUUAUCUUUUGUUUAUCCACAUUGUGUGUAUUGUCAGGCUGCAUGUGGGUGGCCUCAAUGUGAAUAAUUUGAAGGGGUCAUGCAAUGCCAUGAAAUGGGUUUGACUUAUGGCUAAGCUAUCUUGUUGUUUAUGUUCUCUUCUGCUUCUCAAUUUCCCCACAUGUUUUCAUUUGCCCAUCUACUUUGUGUGUAUUGUCAGGCUGCAUUUGAGUGGUUUGAAUAAAAAAUUCCAGAGGGUUGGGCAAUGCCACGAAAUGUUUUUGAGCCAAGGCUUUGUGAUUUUGUUAAGUUCUCUUCUGCUUCUCAAUAUCCACUUGUUUAUCUACGUUGUGUGUAUUGUCCGGCUGCAUCUGGGUGGCCUGAAUGAAUAAUUUCCAGGGGUCAUGCAGUGCCUUGAAAUGGGUUUGAACUAAGGCUACGGGAGCUUGUUCUUUAUGUUCUCUUCUGCUUCUCAAUUUCCCCACAUGGUUUUCAUUUGCCUAUCUACUCUGUGUAUUGUCAGUCUGUAUUUGCGUGGUUUGAAUAAAUAAUUCCAAAGGGUCAGGCAAAGCUAUGAAAUGGGUUCGAGCAAUGUGAUUUUGUUUAUGUUCUCUGCUGCUUCUCAAUAUCCCCCUUGCUUUUCAUUUGUUUAUCCACAUUGUGUGUAUUGUCAGGCUGCAUCUGGGUGGCCUAAAUGAAUAAUUUGAAGGGGUCAUGCAAUACCAUGAAAUGGGUUUGACCUAAGGCUAAGCGAUCUUGUUCUUUAUGUUCUCUUCUGCUUCUCAAUUUUCCACAUGGUUUUCAUUUGCCUAUCUACUUUGUGUGUAUUGUCAGGCUGCAUUUGCGUGGUUUGAAUAAAUAAUUCCAGAGGGUCUGGCAAUGCCACGAAAUGGGUUUGAGCUAAGGCUUUGUGAUUUUGUUUAUGUUCUCUUCUGCUUCUCAAUAGCUCCCUUGCUUUUCUUAUGUUUAUCCACAUUGUGUGUAUUCUCAGGCUGCAUCUGGGUGGCCUGAAUGAAUAAUUUCAAGGGGUCAUGCAAUGCCAUGGAUUGUGUUUUUUGACCUAUGGCUAAGUGAUCUUGUUCUUUAUGUUAUCUUCUGCUUCUCAAUUUCCCCACAUGGUUUUCAUUUGCCCAUCUACUUUUUCUGUAUUGUCAGGCUGCAUUUGAGUGGUUUGAAAAAAAAAUUCCAGAGGGUCUGGCAAUGCCACGAAAUGGUUUUGAGCUAUGGCUUUGUGAUUUUGUUUUUGUUCUCUUCUGCUUUUCAAUAUCCCCUUUACUUUUCAUUUGUUUAUCUACAUUGUGUGUAUUGUCAGGCUUCAUCUGAGUGGCCUGGAUGAAUAAUUUGAAGGGGUCAUGCAGUGCCAUGAAAUGGGUUUGAGCUAAGGAUACGUGAUCUUGUUCUUUUUGUUCUCAUCUGCUUCUCAAUUUCCCACAUGCAUUUCGUUUGCUUAUUACUUUUUGUACAUUGACAGGCUGCAUCUCCAUGGCUACGUGAUUUUGUUCCUUGUGUUCUCUGCUGCUUCCCAAUAUCUUUCAUGCUUGUCAUUUGUUUAUCUACACUGUAUAUUGUCAGGCUGCGUUUGUGUGGCCUAAAUAAAUAAUUCCAAGGGAUAAAGAAAAGCCUGGGAAUGGGUUUUAACUAAGCCAUUCUUUAUGUUCUUAUCUGCGUCUGAAUUUCCCACAUGAUUUCAUUUGUUUAUCUACAUUGUGUGUAUUGUCAGGCUGCAUCUUUGUGGCCUGAAUGAAUAAUUUCAAGGGGUUGUGCAAUGCCAUGAAAUGGGUUUGAGCUAAGGCUACGCGAUCUUGUUCUUUAUGUUCUAUUCUGCUUCUCAAUUUCCCACAUGCUUUUCGUUUGCUUAUAUACUUUGUAUAUUGACAGGCUGCAUCUGCGUGUCUACGUGAUUUUGUUGCCUGUGUUCUCUGCUGCUUCCCAAUUUCCCACAUGCUUUUGAUUUGUUUAUCUACAUUGCUUGUAUUGUUGGGCUGCAUCUGCUCGGCCUAAAUUAAAAUUUCAAGGGGUGAUCCUAUUCAGCUUCUCAAUUUCCCACAUGCUUUUCAUUCGCUUGUCCGCUUUGUGUGUAUUGUCAUGCUGCAUUUGUGUGGUUGAUAUAAUUACUUCUCAAGGGGUUAGGCAAUGCCAUGAAAUGGGUUUGAUCUAAGGCUUCGUAGUUUUGAUCUUUAUGUUCUCUUCUGCUUCUUAAUUUUGCACAUGCUUUCCUUUUGUUUAUCUACAUUGUGUGAAUUUUCAAUCUGCAUCUGCUUGGCCUAAAUAAAUAAUUUCAAGGUGUCAUGCAAAUGCCAUGAAAUGGGUUUGAGCUAUGGCUACGCUAUUUUGUUCUUUAUGUUCUCUUCUGCUUAUCAAUUUCCCAAAUGCCACAGCGCGUAGCUUGUAAUUGUGUUCAUCUGUUGUAUAUUUUAUGUGUACCUGGGCCAUGUCUAGUUUGUGGAUAAAAAAAAUUCCCACAUGCUUUUCUGUUGUUUAUCUACACUGUAUAUUGUCAGGCUGCAUCUGUGUGGCCAAAAUAAAUCAUUUUAAUCCAAUGUCAUGCAAUGGGUUUGAGCUAAGGCGUUCUUUUUGUUCUCUUUUGCUUUACAACUGCCCACAUGCUCUUCAUUUGUUUAUCUAGUCUUUAUAUUGUCUGGCUGCAUCUGCGUGGCCUAAAUAAUUAAUUCCAAGGGAUCAGGAAAUGCCAGGGGGUGGGUUUUAACUAGGGCGUUCUAUAUGUUCUCAUCUGCUUCUCAAUUUCCCACAUGCUUUUCAUUUGUUUUUACCAGAAUCCACUUGCCCUUUAUAUAUUCUUUAUUUUUGUUUGGCUGUUAUCUAAGACAUUUGCAUGCUUUUUAAGUGUGGUUGCACUUCAUGUUUUUACCAGAAUCCACUUGCACGUUUGCCAUACUUGUUAGACCUUAAGAUGAUAAGCUGUGUCAUUUACAGCCUCAUUGGACUUUGGGAUUUUUUUGUUGUUUGGUAAGGUAUGUAACAGAUUUGGAUAUGAUUGUGAUUGCGCUCUGAGUGGGAGGAAAGUCAGAAUUGAUUUGAAUUGUUGGAUUGUGUGGGGAUAUAGCUAUGGUAGUUAAUGCUCUAUGACGGAUUUCUUGUACUGGGUUACAAAUAUGGAGCAUUGCCUUAUUUUUAAUUGAUGGUUGGCAUGUAACCAAUUUGUCACAAUUUCUUUUCCUUUACGGCUGGCUUGGUAACUACGAUCACAAAUACAAGUUUCUAAUGGAUAUUGAGGAUUUAUUGUAUAGAAAGAAUAUAUUGCAAUCUUAUGGAGGAUUCAUUCCCUAUCCAGAUCACGAAGUUUUCUUCUACAGGAUUACUUUAUGGUGUUAUAAAUGGUGACGUGAUAAUGUUUGGAAUGCUACUUCACAAUUUCCGUAUCACUAGUUAACAAGAGUUCUAUAAAUAUAAAAGUAAUGUUAGAUAUGGUGAUGGUGCUCGAUGGUCCUUUUGAAAGUAAUGAUUUAUUUAUUUAUUAAUGUUUUUAUGUCAGAUGUACCUCAGUUCUUGCAGCUAUGAGUGGUCUGUCUCAAUACAAUGAUCGAUAAUUGCCAUUUUGUUCUCAGAACCUUCAUACAUGAGCACAUUUACAAAAUUCUUCUUUCAUAACUAAUCAUUCGGUAAAUGCUUCGAAGGGACGAUCGUUUUCUACGAAUCCCUUCGAGUAAAAGAUAGGAUUGACAAAAUGUCCUGUAGUAAAAGGAGACCAUACCCAUUGGGGGGUGAAGGGAGGCAAGUGGUUGCAAGUGGUUGUAAAAAUUCCAACAACCCCUUACGGUUAUACUGACUUGGCAUCAGCGCACACUAUUACUCUAUAGAAAUAUUUUGGAUAUAGUAUCAAAGAGCUAGGCAACGGUUUCAAGAAAAAUUACUCUAGCAAUGGAAAUUCCCAUUCGUGGAUUUUUCGUUUGAUAAACUGACAACUUCUAACUUCUAUAGAAAAAAAUCUGGCUGCCUAUUUUGAUAUAGGGGUGAUACAUCUGAUUUGUCAUGCAACAGGGAUAAUUGGAAAUUCCCAAUCUGAAACAGAUGGCGGCGACGAUAAUAAUAGUAAUGGCCACUACGCUGAUCUAUUUGUACAAAUAAUUCUCUCUGAAGAUCCUUUAUUAUUUCAUACGUGUUGGCGAUAUGAUGCGGCUUUGUUUUCAACCCACCGGCAAAGUUGGCUGUCCAUGGUAUUCUUCUAUGGGAGUAUUCUUCUAUGGGAACACAGAUAAAUAUUACUAUCAUUUCCUUUGUGGUUGGUUGCUGCCAGGUUACCAGCAUUUUAGCGUGGUGGUUCGCUGUGGAGAACUUUUGGUUUUCUUCUUCAGCAGCAGUACAAAUGCAUACACGCUCUUUUAGCUUGGAUGUCUUAGUGACCUUGAGAAGAACAUAGAAGCUUGGAUAUUUAUCAAAAAAAAGAACAUAGAAGCUUGGAUGUCAUAGAUUUUGUUGGUGGAGUACUGCCAUUUUCCACGGUGGGUUCUAUCGAAGUUUUUGGAAUUCUUUUUUCAGAACAGAGAUAAAUAUUACUAUCCACCGGCAAAGUUGGCUGUCCAUGGUAUUCUUCUAUGGGAACACAGAUAAAUAUUACUAUCAUUUCCUUUGUGGUUGGUUGCUGCCCUCUGGUAGGUUGGCUUCGUGACCAUGAGUGCAUAUAUGUUUUUCUCACGCUCUUGUUCCAUAUUGUGAUUUUUUCCGUAGAUUUUGCAGGCAUUGCUACAGCAUUUUAGCGUGGUGGGUCCGUUGUGGAGAACUUUUGGUUUUCUUCAACAGCAGCAGUACAAAAAAUGCAUGCACGCUCUUUUAGCUUGGAUGUCUUAGUGACCUUGAGAACAUAGUGGAUGUCAUAGAUUUUGUUGGUGGAGUACUGCCAUUUUCCACGGUGGGUUCUAUCGAAGGCGAUUCGAGAAGGAUUCCGUUCUUUUUUCAGAACAGAGAUAUGUAUCACUGCCAUUUCCUUUACAUAUUGCAAUCAUGGUAACCUUGAAUAUAGCCUCUUGAAUUUAAAUUAAUAGUAUUUGAAAGCGGCGGCCGCAUCCACACAGUAUAUUUUUGCAGCGGCAAUCAGCAUGUUGGUCCCGGUUUAUGUUUCUAUCUUUUUAUCACGGUGGAAUCCAGAGAAGUUGGCUUCUUCAGACCAGUUUGGUUUUUAUAGGAGCACAUUUUUAUCAUUGUCCUUUCUUUUAUGCUUGGCUAGCAUGGAAAGCAUGAAUCUUUGGAGAAGUAUUCGAAAAUUGUCGGAUGUGCGUGGACUACUUUUUGCAAAGCUUAUCAGCUCAUGUCCUGGCUCAUGUCUCUACCAGCAUCUACUUGCAUGUGCACAACUCGUUAUGCCUUAAGAUGAUUGGUUUUGCCAUUCAGUAUUUUGACCUUUUAUGCAGGUUGGAGGUUUAUGCAAGAUUUUGAUUUAUUGGGGUUUGGUUGUUGUCCAAGAGCUGGUGGCUUUGGAAGCGGUUUCACACUCAAUGUUGGGUUGGUAUAUGCUUGGAAUUCUUUCCUCAUGCAUUCUAUAUGGAAGAUUUUGUAAUUUGCUGUAGCCAAGUUCCUGUGUUAAUGGUUUAUGAAGAAUGGACUUCUGUCACUUCUGUUAGAAAAUUUUGAUUAAGCCUUUGUUUAAAUGCCAGCGAGAGAGUGUGAUUUGUUAGAAGUGUUUUUCUUUUUCUUUUUCUUUUUUUUUUUUUUUUUUUUUUUUUUUUUUUUAAAUUUUCGACGUAAGUUUUUGAGGUCUUUGAUCAUUCUGUCCACAUGCUUGGCCGGCUUAGUUGAGCGAAAAUAAUUUUUUUCGCUCUUGCACAAUCCUAUGAUUUAUUUCAUAGAUUUUGGCACUGUCGUAAAGCUGGUUUUCACGCUAGGUUCCAUUUCCUUUGUGGUUGGUUGCUGGAAGCUUACCAGUGCGUAACAUGAUCUUUUCCUCUAUCGUAGGUUGGCUUCAUGACCAUGGGUGCAGAAAUGUUUUUCUCUCAGCACAGCUCCUGUUCCAUACGUGUUUUUUUCCGUAGAUUUUUAUGGCAUUGCUACUUAAUUUUAGCUUGGUGGGUUAGCUUGUGCAGAUCUAUUGGUUUUCAUCUAUAGGAGUACAAAUGUGUACGUGCUAGUUUAGCUUAAAUGUCUUGGUGACCUUAAGCAUAUAUAUGUUUAUCUAAAACACGAUACUAUCUUUUAUUUGGGUCAUAUAUUUUGUUGGUGGAUUACUGACAUUUUCCAUGGUGGGUUCUAGAAAAGUUGGUGUCCCGGGAAGGAUUUAGAAUUCUUCUAUCGGAACCGAUAUAUGUUACAUGUAUUACUAUCAAUUCUUUUACGUAUUGGAAUCAUGGUGAUCUUGAAUAUAGCUAGCCUCUUGAAUUUAAAUUAAUAGGCUCGACUUGAGCCUCACUAAAUAAUUCCGUUGACCUGCAAAUUCCAAACUGGGACUGCGUCAGAUUUGGCUCUUGAGUCAGGUCUCACUUCAGAGAGGAGGUCAACGCAUGAGACUGGUCUCACGGAGCAAAGAAAGCUGCCUGUUCUCAACAGUGGAAGGAUAUACAGUUGCAUGUCUAAGAACCCAACACAUUUUGUAAAUGCUUACAAAAGAAACUAAAUUGAUAAAUUUUGUGAGAGGGUGGUCGCAUCACGUGGUAUUUUUUUGCAGCAGCAAUCAGCAUGUUGAUCCUGUUCUUGUUUCUAGAUUUUCAUCACGGUGGAUUCCAGCGUAAUUGGCUUCUCCAUACUAAUUGGGUAUCCUUUUGUAGAAGCAAAAAUUUUUAUCAUUGACAUUUCUUUUAUGGUCGGCUAGCUUGGAAAGCAUGAAUCUUUGGAAAAGUAUUCGAAAAUUGGAAGCCGCGUGCGGACUACUUUUUGCAAAGCUUAUCUGCUCAUUUGGUAGAUAUGAUUUUUUGAUGAUUAUAAAUUAUGAAGUUGAGGUCUUUGGUCAUGCAGUGCUGUUGACCUCGUAACCUUCUUGGGCAACUAAUUUAUCAGAGUUUCUGACCUGGUUCAUGUUGAUACUGGUUCAUGCUUCUAGGUUUUUAGUCCAGUGAAGUUGGCCUCUCCAUACCAAUUUGGUAUUCUAUAGAAGCAGAAAUUUUUAUCACUGUCCUUUCUUUUUUGGUUGGCUAGCGUGGAAAGCAUGAAGCUUUGGAAAAGUAUUCGAAAAUUGGCGGCUGUGUGUGGACUAGUUUUUGCCAAGCUUAUCAGCUCAUUUGCCCUGGUUCAUGCUUCUAUUACCAUCUACUUGAAUGUACACAACUCGUUAUGCCUUAAGAUGAUUGGUUUUGCCAUUCAGUAUUUUUUGAAAUUUUUUGCAGGAUGGAGCUUUAUGCAAGAUUUUGAUUUAUUGUGGUUUGGUUGUUGUCCAAGUGUUGGUGGCUUUGGAAGCAGUUUCACACUGAAUGUUAGGUUCGUAUAUGCCUGGGGUUGUUUCCUCAUGCAUUCUAUAUUGAAGACUUUGGACAUUGCUGUAGCCAAGUUACGGUCUUAAUGAUUUACAAAGAAUGAACUUCUCUCAUGUCUAGUAGAAAAUUUUGAUUAAGCCUUUGUUUAACUGCAGCAAGAAAGUGUGAUUUUCUUCGUUGGGAAGUCUUUCUACUUGUUUGAACAACUAUUUCUCUACUUGUCCAAUUGGUCUUGAGUGUCAUUUUUAGGCAUAUGAUUUUUUGAAGAUUAUAAACUACGACGUGAUAUUUUUAGCUUUUUGGCCGUUCUGUGUUGGUGACCUCAUAACCUUCUUGGACGACUAAUUUAUCAGAGUUUCUGACCUGAUUAUGGUCACAAAGGAAAAUCAUCUUUGGGCAGGAAGAAAGCAGGUUUUGUAGCUAUGCUUAUGUAGCUGAGAUGCGUAUAUUUUCCCAAGCUUUCCGUGGACUAACUUGUAUUGCUGGAUUUCAUAAUCUGUGUCAAAUAUCUGCUUACCUCCUUCCUGGCCAUUGAAGAAUUGCUUACUAGGUGCUUAAAACGUUUAAAAAUUUCAAUGGUUGGCUUUGUACUGAAGGCACCGAUGGUCCUCUGAGGGGUGGGGGGGCUACAGCAUUUUAGCAUAUUAGGUUGGCUUGUGCAGAUCUGUUUGGCGUUCUUCUAUAGGAGUUCAAGUAUGUACACACUUUUUUUAUGCUUUGUCUGCUUGGUUGAGCACAAAUAAUAUAUAUAUUUUUUUUUCUCUAGCACAAUGCUAUGAUUUAUUUCAUAAAUUUGGCAUUGUGGUACAGCUUGUUUUCACAUUGGGUUCCAGCAAAGUUGGCUGUCCAAGAAGGUUUUGGUACUAUUCUAUGGGAAUAUGGAUAUGUAUUACUAUCAUUUCAUUUUUGGUUGGUUGGUGGCAGGUUACCAGUGUGUAACACGAUCUGUUCCUCUAUGGUAGGUUGGCUUGGUGGCCAUGGGUGCAGAUAUGUUUUUCUCUCAAGACGGCUCCUGUUCCACACGUAAUUUUAUAUGUAAAUUUUUCUGGCAUUGCUAUAGAAUUUUAGCAGGGUGGGUUCGCUUGUCCAGAUCUAUUGGUCUUCAUCUAUUUGUAGGUGGAGUACUGUCAUUUUCCACGAUGGGCUCUAGUAUAGUUGGCAUCUCGAGAAGGAUUUGGAAUUCUUCUAUCAGAACAGAGAUAUGUAUUACUAUCAUUUCUAAACCUAUUCCAAUCAUGGUGACCUUGAAUAUAGCCUUUUGAAUUUAAAUUAGUUGGACCGACUUGAGCGAGGACUAAGAGUGUUAUGUUCACUGAAUAUUUUUGCUGACCUGCCAACUCCAAACAGAGACUGGUUUCACGGAGCAAAGAAAACUGCCUGUUCUCAUUUCUAGAUUUUCAUCACGGUGGAUUCCAACGGGGUUGACUUCUCCACACCAAUUUGGUAUUCUUUUAUAGAAGCAGAAAUUUUAAUCAUUGACCUUUCUUUUAUGGUUGGCUAGCUCAGAAAGCAUGAAUCUCUUGCGAAGUAUUCGAAAAUUGGCAGCUGCAUGCGGACCACUUUUUCAAAGCUUUUCUGCUUAUUUGUCCUGGCUCAUCUUUCUCUCGACUACAAUCCUAUGAUUUAUUUCUUAGGUUUUUGCUUUGUGGUAUAGCUUGUUUUCAUAUUGGGUUCCGGCAAGUUGACUAUCCAAGAAGGAUUUUGUAUUCUUCUCUGGUGACACAGAUAUGUAUUACUAUCAUUUCCUUUCUGGUUGGUUGCUAGCAGAUUACCAGUGUGUGACAUGAUCUUUUCCUCUAAGGUGGUUGGCUUCAUAACCAUGGGUGUAGCAGAUAUGUUUUUCUCUCAGGAUGGUAAUGGUUCCUUGUCCAUACGUGAUUUUUUCCGUAUAUUUUUCUGGCAUUGCUACAGAAUUUUAGCAUGGUGGGUUCGCUUGUGCAGAUCUUGUGGUUUUCAUCUAUAGGAGGACAAAUAUGUUUAUCUGCAGCGAGAGUGUGAUUUGCUGGAAAUUUCUUCUGUCUCGCUUUCCACUUGUUUGAACAAUUUGCAAAUUGGUCUAGAGGUGCCUUUUUAGGCAUAUGAUUUUUUGAGAAUUAUAAAUUACGAAGUGGUUUUUUGAGGUCUUUGGUCGUGCAGUCCUGGUGACCUCGUAACUUUCUUGGGCAACUAAUUUAUCAGAGUUUCUGACCUGGUUCAUGUUUCUAGGUUUUUAUCAUGGUGGAUUCUAGCAAGUUGGCUUCUCCAUACCAAUUUGGUAUUAUUUCAUCGGAGUAGAAAUUUUUAUCAUUGUCCUUUGUUUUCUGAUUGGCUAGCAUGGAAAGCAUGAAUCUUUGGAAAGGUAUUCGAAAAUUGGCGACUGUCUGUGGACUACUUUUUGCAGAGCUUAUCAGUCCUGGCUCAUGUUUCUACCAGCAUCUACUUGAAUGUUCACAACUCGUUAUGCGUUAAGAUGAUUGGUUUUGCCAUUCAGUAUUUUGACAUUUUUUGCAGGUUGGAGCUUUAUGCAAGAUUUUGAUUUGUUGUGGUUUGGUUGUCGUCCAAGUGUUGGUAGCUUUGGAAGUGGUCUCACACUGAAUGUUAUGUUCGUAUAUGCCUAGGAUUGUUUCUCAUGCAUUCUAUAUGGAAGACUUUGGAGAUUGCUGUAGCCAGGUUACUGUCUUUAUGAUUUACAAAGAAUGAACUUCUGUCAUGUCUAGUAGAAAAUUUUGAUUAAGCCUUUUUUAACUGCAGCGAGAGAGUAUGAUUUUCUGGAAUUUUUUCUUGUCUCCUUUUCAUGGGGAAGUAUUUCUACUUGUUUAAACAAUUAUUUCUCUACUUGUUCAAUUGGUCUUCAGGGUCAUUUUUAGGCAUAUGAUUUUUUGAAGAUUAUAAAAUACAACGUGAUAUUUUGAGCUCUUUGGUCGUUCUGUGUUGGUGAUCUCAUUACCUUCUUGGAAUCCUAAUUUAUCGAGUUUCUGAACUUAUUAUGGUCAUAAAGGAAAAUCAUCUUUGGGCAGGAAGAAAGCAGGUUUUGUAUCUAUGCUUAUGUAGCUAAGAUGCGUACAUUUUCCCAAGCUUUUCGUGGACUAACUUGUAUUGCUGGAUUUGUUUCAUAGUCUGUGUGUCAGAUAUUUACUUACCUCCUUCCUGGCCAUUGAAGAAUUGCUUACUAGGUGCUUAAAAAUUGCAAUGGUUGGGUUUGUACUGAAGGCAUCAAGGGCCGGCUACAGCAUUUUAGCAUAUUAGGUUGGCUAGUGCAGAUCUGUUUGGUGUUCUUCUAUAGGAGUAAUUGUGGUACAACUUGUUUUCACGUUGGGUUCCGGCUAAGUUGGCUGUACCAGAAGGUUUUGGUACUCUUCUAUGGGAAUAUGGAUAUGUAUUACUAUCAUUUCAUUUUUGGUUGGUUGGUGGCAGGUUACCAGUGUGUAACGUGAUCUGUUCCUCUUGGUAGGUUGGCUUGGUGGCCAUGGGUGCAGAUAUGUUUUUCUCUCAGGAUGGCUCCUGUUCCAUACGUAAUUUUAUAUGUAAAUUUUUCUGGCAUUGCUACGGAAUUUUAGCGGGGUGGGUUCGCUUGUCCAGAUCUAUUGGUUUUCAUCUAUAGGAGUAAAAAUACAUACACGCUCUUUCAGCUCAAAUGUCUUAGUGACCUUAACUAUAAGUUUAUCUGACAUGCGAUGCUGCGUUUGAUUUAUUUAAUAGAUUUGUAGGUGGCAUGAAUUCCUUAUAUCCAUUGAUCAAACCUAGAACUGGUCACUAAUCUUUGUAUCAGGCUUUUGCCUACGUUUUUGAUAAUAUAACUAUUUUACUUAUAAAAAAAAAAAAAAAAGAUCUGUAGGUGGAGGACUGCCAUUUUCUACUGUGUGCUCUAGUAUAGUUGGAGUCUCAAGAAGGAUUUGGAAUUCUUCUAUCGGAACAGAGAUAUGUAUUACUAUCAUUCCUAAACCUAUUCCAAUCAUGGUGACCUUGAAUAUAGCGUGCUGAAUUUAAAUUAAUAUGCCUGACUUGAGUGCGGAGAGUGUGGUGUUCACUAAAUAUUUUUGCUGACCCGCCAAUUCCAAACUGAGACUGCAUCAGAUUUGGCUCUCAAGUCAGGUCUCGCUUCAGAUAGGAGGUCAACGCGUGAGACUGGUUUCACAGAGCAAAGAAAACUGCAUGUUCUCAACAGUGAAAGGAUAUGGGCACAGCUGCAUGUCUAAGAACCCAACACAUUUUGUAAAUACUUACAAAAAAAAUUAAUUUGAUUGUAUUUGGGAGAAGGUGGCCACAUCCACGCGGUAUAUUUUUGCAGCAGCAAUCAGCGUGUUGAUCCUGGUUCUUGUUUCUAGUUUUUCAUCACAUUGGAUUCCAGUGUAGUUGGCUUCUCCAUACCGAUUUGGUAUUCUUUUAUAGAAGCAGAAAAAGUAUUCGAAAAUUGGCAGCUGCAUGCGUACUACUUUUUCAAAGCUUAUCUGCUCAUUUGUCCUGGCUCAUCUUUCUCUUGAGCACAAUCCUAUGAUUUAUUUUCUAGAUUUUUGCGGUGCCGUAUAGCUUGUUUUCACAUUGGGUUCUGGCAAAGUCGACUAUCCGAGAAGGAUUUCGUAUUCUUCUCUGGUGAGACAAAUAUGUAUUGCUAUCAUUUUCGUUCUGGUUGGUUGCUAGCAGGUUACCAGUGUGUGAUAUGAUCUUUUCCUCUAUGGUAGGUUGGCUUCGUAACAAUGGGUGCAGCAGAUAUGUUUUUCUCUCAAGAUGGUUCCUUGUCCAUACGUGAGUUUUUCUGUAGAUUUUUCUGGCAUUGCUACAGAAUUUUAGCGUGGUGGGUUCGCUUUUGCAGAUCUUGUGGUUUUCAUCUAUAGGAGGACAAAUAUAUUUAUUUGCAGCGAGAGAGUGUGAUUUGAAGGAAGUUUUGUCAAUCUCGCUUUCCUUAGGCAGUCUUUCUACUUGUUUGAACCAUUAUUUUUCUUCCUGUAAAUUGGUCCAGAGGUUCCUUUAUAGGCAUAUGAUUUUUAAGUGGUUUUUUGAGGUCUUUGGUCGUGCAGCGCCGGUGACCUCAUAACCUUCUUGGACAACUAAUUUAUCAGAGUUUCUGACCUGGUUCAUGCUGAUCCUGGUUCAUGUUUCUAGGUUUUUAUCACAGUGGAUUCCAGCAAAGUUGGCUUCUCCAUACCAAUUUGGUAUUCUUUCAUAGGAGCAGAAAUUUUUAUCAUUGUCCUUUAUUUUUUGGUUGGCCAGCAUGGAAAGCUUGAAUCUUUGGGAAAGUAUUCAGAAAUUGGUGGCUGUCUGUUGACUACUUUUUGCAGAGCUUAUCAGCUCAUUUGUCCUGGCUCCUGUUUCUACCAGCAUCUACUUGAAUGUGCACAACUCGUUAUGCAUUAAGAUGAUUGGUUUUUCCAUUCAGUAUUUUGACAUUUUUUGCAGGUUGGAGCUUUAUGCAAGAUUUUGAUUUAUUGUGAUUUGGUUGUUGUCCAAGUGGUGGUGGCUUUGGAAGUGGUCUCACACUGAAUGUUAGGUUCGUACAUGCCUGAGAUUGUUUCCUCAUGCAUUCUAUAUGGAAGACUUUCGACAUUGUUGUAGUCAAGUUACUAUCUUAAGGAUUUACAAAGAAUGAACUCCUGUCAUGUCUAGUAGAAAAUUUUGAUUAAGCCUUUGUUUAACUGUAGCGAUAGAGUAUGAUUUUCUGGAAAUUAUUUAUCAGCUUGUCCAAUUAGUCUUAAGGGUCAUUUUUAGGCAUAUGAAUUUUUGAAGAUUAUGAACUACGACAUGAUUUUUUGAGCUCUUUGGUCGUUCUGUGUUGGUGACCUCAUAACCUUCUUGGACAACUAAUUUAUAAGAGUUUCUGACCUGAUUAUGGUCAUAAAGGAAAAUCAUCUUUGGGCCGGAAGAAAGCAGGUUUCGUAUCUGUUCUUAUGUAGAUGAGAUGCGUAUAUUUUCCCAAGCUUUCCACGGACUAACUUGUAUUGCUGGAGUUCAUAAUUUGUGUGUCAGAUAUCUGCUUAUCCCCUUCCUGGCCAUUGAAGAAUUGCUUACUAGGUGCUUAAAACGUUUAAAAAUUUCAAUGGUUGGCUUUGUACUCAAGGCAUCGAGGGUCCUCUUGAGGGGUGGGGGGGCUACAGCAUUUUUGCAUAUUAAGUUGGCUUGUACAGAUCUGUUUGGUGUUCUUCUAUAGGAGUUCAUGUAUGUACACACAUUUUUUAUGCUUGGCCAACUUGUUUGAGCACAAAUAUUUUUUUUUUUCUCUAGCACAAUGCUAUGAUUUAUUUCUUAAAUUUGGCAGUGUGAUACAGCUUGUUUUCACGUUGGGUUCCAGCAAAGUUGGCUGUCCAAGAAGGUUUUGGUACUCUUCUAUGGGAAUAUGGAUAUGUAUUACUAUCAUUUCAUUUUUGGGUGGUUGGUGGCAGGUUACCAGUGUCUAACAUGAUCCAUUCCUCUAUGGUAGGUUGGCUUGGUGGCCUUGGGUGUAGAUAUGUUUUUCUCUUAGGACGGCUCCUGUUCCAUACGUAAUUUUAUACGUAAAUCUUUCUGGCAUUGCUACAGAAUUUUAGCGGGAUUUGUAGGUGGAGUAUUGCCAUUUUCCACGGUGGGCUCUAGUAUAGCUGGCAUCUUGAGAAGGAUUUGGAAUUCUUCAAUUGGAACAGAGAUAUGUAUUACUAUCAUUUCUAAACCUAUUCCAUAUAGCCUGUUGAAUUUAAAUUAAUUGGCCUGACUUGAGCGAGGACUAAAGAGUGUUAUGUUCACUGAAUAUUUCUUCUGACCUGCCAACUCCAAACUGAGACUGGAUUCACGGAGCAAAUAAAACUGCCUGUUCUCAACAGUGGAUGGAUAUGGGCAUAACUGCAUGUGUAAUGUCUUGAAGACCUGUUAUAAUGCAAUUUUCAGGGGAAGUAAUGUCUUGAAAACUUGUGCUGAUUAUACUCUUUUUCCUUCGCUAAGGUUUUAUCCCACUGGGUUUUCCUUUGCAAGGUUUUAA